UGGGGAAUAUUGCACAAUGGGGGAAACCCUGAUGCAGCGACGCCGCGUGAGCGAAGAAGGCUUUCGAGUCGUAAAGCUCUGUCCUAUGAGAAGAUAAUGACGGUAUCAUAGGAGGAAGCCCUGGCUAAAUACGUGCCAGCAGCCGCGGUAAUACGUAUGGGGCGAGCGUUGUCCGGAAUUAUUGGGCGUAAAGGGUACGUAGGCGGUUUUUUAAGUCAGGUGUCAAAGCGUGGAGCUUAACUCCAUUAAGCACUUGAAACUGAAAGACUUGAGUGAAGGAGAGAAAAGUGGAAUUCCUAGUGUAGCGGUGAAAUGCGUAGAGAUUAGGAGGAACACCGGUGGCGAAAGCGGCUUUUUGGCCUGCAACUGACACUGAGGCGCGAAAGCGUGGGGAGCAAACAGG
rnacentral:rRNA from 1 species